rnacentral:lncRNA from 1 species
UAUUGCUCAUGAUGACAUUUACAAUCAUAUAUAUACUAAGACCCGUUUACAUCAAUUCUGAUAUGGCACCGCUCAGAUUUUUAACCCUCUCAAAUAUUCGAGAGACGUUCUGAUAUGGCACCGCUCAGAUUUUUAACCCGUUUACAUCAAUUCUGAUAUGGCACCGCUCAGAUUUUUAACCCGUUUACAUCAAUUCUGAUAUGGCACCGCUCAGAUUUUUAACCCGUUUACAUCAAUUCUGAUAUGGCACCGCUCAGAUUUUUAACCCUCUCAAAUAUUCGAGAGACGUUCUGAUAUGGCACCGCUCAGAUUUUUAACCCGUUUACAUCAAUUCUGAUAUGGCACCGCUCAGAUUUUUAACCCUCUCAAAUAUUCGAGAGACGUCAACUCCCAUUCUGGGAGAAAGACUGCCUUCACUCAAGCUCUGGGGUUCCAAGGAAGGAAAUUGAAAUCAAACCCCUACAAUGCGUCUGCAGAGGCUCGAACCACUUCUCUCUCAUUUGUGAGGGAGUGACUCUGGCCACUUGGGCUUAGCCCA